UGUAAUGGCAGUAGGCAAAGACACCUUGUUAGUGGUGGUGUUCUUAUAUCAGUCAGGGACAGAGCAGAUGGCAGUCCUUUGUUCAUCUAGCUUGGUGCCUGGCUUGGUGGCCAGAGCUGUUUUAUGCCUAGGACACAUAA